AAAACACCCUCAAGGACGGGCACUGCACAGACUGUAACAACAAGGAACGUGGCUCUGCAUCUCUCAGCAGCCAGUCUGCCAUGGGUCCCACGCCACUCUGAUUUCGGCUCAGCUGAGGACUCGAAGUAACAGGCCCGCUGCCUCUGGUAAAAACUGCUCUUUUUAAAUUUUUUAUUAAUCUCCAAACUGGCUGUGUUAGAGUUACAGCCCAUUACCUACCAACUCUCUUCACUAAUAAAAUAAAUUUGUAAAAGGCCUAAUUACUACUUUUACUGAACUACACUGCCUGGGGAUCAAGUACAGGAAGCCAAGGGCUCAACUAGUUGUCAGCUAGGGGAUGAUGAUGGGGAGGGGAUCAGGAGAGGACCUGGAGUCACCAGCAGGAGAGAACAUGAGGUCCACAGACGAGCCUCCGAACCCAUGCCCAAAAAGAAACAAAAGGGCACUAACCCUGUUUUUGUUCUGAACAGCAUCGUGAGGAUCCAUGCCAUCAUGGGAUUUGGGAAGGCCUGUCACGAGGUACACAGGCCUAUGCUGCCCACGCCCCAGCUCAGUUCAAAAAGAGAACUGCAAUCCAACACAGAUGGACCGUGGCCGGGCUCUCAGCAGAGAGUCUGGGGAGUCUGACCCGUAAGGAAACAAACAACCGUCCUUCCCACCUAUCCAUCACUCUACCCUUCCACCCCAACCCAGGCCCCCAAAGAGGAAAAACAAACAAAACAACA
rnacentral:lncRNA from 1 species